AUCAACUUUCGAUGGUAGGAUAGAGGCCUACCAUGGUGGUAACGGGUAACGGGGUGUUAGGGCACGACACCGGAGAGGGAGCCUGAGAAACGGCUACCACAUCCAAGGAUGGCAGCAGGCGCGCAAAUUACCCAAUCCCGACACGGGGAGGUAGUGACAAUAAAUAACAAUACGGGGUUCUUAAGGAUCUCGUAAUUGGAAUGAGUACAAUUUAAAUCUCUUAACGAGGAACAAUUGGAGGGCAAGUCUGGUGCCAGCAGCCGCGGUAAUUCCAGCUCCAAUAGCGUAUAUUAAAGUUGUUGCAGUUAAAAAGCUCGUAGUUGAAUUUCGGGAUCAAUUUGUCGGUCGUGCCUCGGUACGUACUGGUAUUAUUGGUUUCUACCUUCUGAAGAACCUUGAUGUCAUUAGUUUGGUGUCUUGGGAAAUCAGGACUGUUACUUUGAAAAAAUUAGAGUGUUUAAAGCAGGCAUACGCUUGAAUACAUUAGCAUGGAAUAAUGAAAUAGGACGUUUGAUUCUAUUUUGUUGGUUUCUAGGAUCGACGUAAUGAUUAAUAGGGAUAGUUGGGGGCAUUAGUAUUCAAUUGUCAGAGGUGAAAUUCUUGGAUUUAUUGAAGACUAACUACUGCGAAAGCAUUUGCCAAGGAUGUUUUCAUUAAUCAAGAACGAAAGUUAGGGGAUCGAAGACGAUCAGAUACCGUCGUAGUCUUAACCAUAAACUAUGCCGACUAGGGAUCGGAUGAUGUUGAUUUUUUAAUGACUCAUUCGGCACCUUACGGGAAACCAAAGUGUUUGGGUUC
rnacentral:rRNA from 1 species